CCUACGGGAUGCAGCAGUGGGGAAUAUUGCACAAUGGGGGAAACCCUGAUGCAGCAACGCCGCGUGAAGGAAGACGGUUUUCGGAUUGUAAACUUCUGUUCUUAGUGAAGAAAAAUGACGGUACCUGACUAAGAAGCCCCGGCUAACUACGUGCCAGCAGCCGCGGUAAUACGUAGGGGGCAAGCGUUAUCCGGAUUUACUGGGUGUAAAGGGAGCGUAGACGGCGCUGCAAGUCCGGAGUGAAAGCCCAUGGCUUAACCAUGGUACUGCUCUGGAAACUGUAGAGCUUGAGUGCGGGAGGGGCA
rnacentral:rRNA from 1 species